rnacentral:rRNA from 1 species
CGUAGGUGGCAAGCGUUGUCCGGAUUUACUGGGCGUAAAGAGCGCGCAGGCGGUCGUGCAAGUCGCGUGUGAAAGCCCCCGGCUCAACUGGGGAGGGUCACGCGAUACUGCUCGACUCGAAGGCAGGAGAGGGAAGUGGAAUUCCCGGUGUAGUGGUGAAAUGCGUAGAUAUCGGGAGGAACACCAGUGGCGAACGGCGACUUCCUGGCCUGUUCUUGACGCUGAGGCGCGAAAGCUAGGGUAGCAAACGGGAUUAGAUACCCCGGUAGUCCUAGCCGUAAACGAUGGACACUAGGUGUUGGUGGUAUCAACCCCGCCAGUGCCGAAGCUAACGCAUUAAGUCGUCCCGCCUGGGGAGUACGGCCGCAAGGCUA